UACAGAGGUCUCAAGCGUUUGUUCGGAUUCAUUGGGCGUAAAGGGUGCGUAGGUGGCGAGGUUAGUCAGGUGUGAAAUCUCGGGGCUUAACCCGGAAACUGCCAUUGAUACUAUUUGUCUUGAAUACUGUGGAGGUCAGCGGAAUAUGUCAUGUAGCGGUGAAAUGCUUAGAUAUGACAUAGAACACCAAUUGCGAAGGCAGCUGGCUACACAAAUAUUGACACUGAGGCACGAAAGCGUGGGGAUCAAACAGG
rnacentral:rRNA from 1 species